rnacentral:tRNA from 1 species
GCGGCUGUAAUUCAGUGGACAGAAUGCCGGACUGCUAAUCCGGAUGACCCGGGUUCAAAUCCCGGCAGCCGCU